rnacentral:rRNA from 1 species
GUCUGCACGGUUGAAUAAAUGUGUAGUCUGGCCUGCCCCCUGAAAACUUUAAAGGGCCGCGGUAUUUGGACCGUGCUAAGGUAGCAUAAUAAAUAGUCUCUUAAUUGGAGUCUAGUAUGAAUGGUCGGACAUGAAGUAAGCUGUUUUAACUUUCAUGCUUGAAUUUUACUUUUAAGUGAAAAGGCUUAAAUUAGAUGGUGGGACGAUAAGACCCUAUAAAGCUUUACGGUUUACUUAUCAGUUGUGAGAAUUAAGGUUUCUUAUUCUUAUUAAGUAAAGCGUUUCGUUGGGGCGACGGAAAUAUAAAUAAGUAACUGUUUUUGCUUGUAAAAUAUGGUUUUAUAGGUGAGUUGAUCCUUUUUAGAGAUUAUAAGAUUUGAGUUACUUUAGGGAUAACAGCGUAAUUUAUCUUGAGAGUUCAUAUCGACAGAUAUAGUUGCGACCUCGAUGUUGAAUUAAAAUAUCCCCCAGGUGUAGCAGUUUCGGUGGUAGGUCUGUUCGACCUUUAAAAUUUUACAUGAUUUGAGUUCAGACCGGCGUA